UACGGGGGGGAGCAAGCGUUGUUCGGAUUUACUGGGCGUAAAGGGCGCGUAGGCGGCCACUGCAAGUCGGUUGUGAAAUCUCCGGGCUUAACCCGGAAAGGUCAAUCGAUACUGCAGGGCUAGAGUGCAGAAGGGGCAACUGGAAUUCUCGGUGUAGCGGUGAAAUGCGUAGAUAUCGAGAGGAACACCUGCGGCGAAGGCGGGUUGCUGGGCCGACACUGACGCUGAUGCGCGAAAGCCAGGGGAGCGAAGCGGG
rnacentral:rRNA from 1 species